GAGUUUGAUCCUGGCUCAGGAUGAACGCUAGCGGCAGGCUUAACACAUGCAAGUCGAGGGGUAACAGAGAAAAGCUUGCUUUUUUGCUGACGACCGGCGAACGGGUGCGUAACGCGUAUAGAAUCUGCCUUGUACAGGAGGAUAGCCUUUAGAAAUGAAGAUUAACACUCCAUAAUACUGAGAUGUGGCAUCACAAUUUAGUUAAACAUUUAUGGGUACAAGAUGACUAUGCGUCCUAUUAGCUAGAUGGUAAGGUAACGGCUUACCAUGGCAACGAUAGGUAGGGGGUCUGAGAGGAUUAUCCCCCACACUGGUACUGAGACACGGACCAGACUCCUACGGGAGGCAGCAGUGAGGAAUAUUGGUCAAUGGAGGCAACUCUGAACCAGCCAUGCCGCGUGCAGGAAGACUGCCCUAUGGGUUGUAAACUGCUUUUAUACAGGAAGAAACAGUCGUACGUGUACGGCCUUGACGGUACUGUAGGAAUAAGGACCGGCUAACUCCGUGCCAGCAGCCGCGGUAAUA
rnacentral:rRNA from 1 species